AGAAGGGCAGGGCUUCACGGAAUCCGAGGAGAUCAAAGAAGACUAGGGCGUGCGAGCAGGGGCCGUCUGGCAAUAAACCGGCCAAUGGGGGACUGCAAAAGCGGCGCCUGGAGCCUAUGGAGACCGUGUGUGGCUGGUUAGAUUUUCAAACAAGAACUUAUAACCCAGCAAGAAUGGGCCUUUGCCUGGAGAAGAAUCCAGACCAUGGGAUGAAUCCCCAAAUGCUAUUUCCAUCUGUAGAGCCUAGAGCACCCACCCCUACCAAGGAAGUCUUCCCAGAUAAUUUGUGUUUCAUAUGUAAAAGCAAGUUUUUUUUUUCAAAUGCUCAAAACCCAAGCAAGUUAAGCCCUUC
rnacentral:lncRNA from 1 species